rnacentral:rRNA from 1 species
ACACAUGCAAGUCGAGGGGAAACGACAUCGAAAGCUUGCUUUUGGUGGGCGUCGACCGGCGCACGGGUGAGUAACGCGUAUCCAACCUGCCCACCACUUGGGGAUAACCUUGCGAAAGUAAGACUAAUACCCAAUGAUAUCUCUAGAAGACAUCUGAAAGAGAUUAAAGAUUUAUCGGUGAUGGAUGGGGAUGCGUCUGAUUAGCUUGUUGGCGGGGUAACGGCCCACCAAGGCAACGAUCAGUAGGGGUUCUGAGAGGAAGGUCCCCCACAUUGGAACUGAGACACGGUCCAAACUCCUACGGGAGGCAGCAGUGAGGAAUAUUGGUCAAUGGACGAGAGUCUGAACCAGCCAAGUAGCGUGCAGGAUGACGGCCCUAUGGGUUGUAAACUGCUUUUAUAAGGGAAUAAAGUGAGUCUCGUGAGACUUUUUGCAUGUACCUUAUGAAUAAGGACCGGCUAAUUCCGUGCCAGCAGCCGCGGUAAUACGGAAGGUCCGGGCGUUAUCCGAAUUUAUUGGGUUUAAAGGGAGCGUAGGCCGGAGAUUAAGCGUGUUGUGAAAUGUAGAUGCUCAACAUCUGCACUGCAGCGCGAACUGGUUUCCUUGAGUACGCACAAAGUGGGCGGAAUUCGUGGUGUAGCGGUGAAAUGCUUAGAUAUCACGAAGAACUCCGAUUGCGAAGGCAGCUCACUGGAGCGCAACUGACGCUGAAGCUCGAAAGUGCGGGUAUCGAACAGGAUUAGAUACCCUGGUAGUCCGCACGGUAAACGAUGGAUGCCCGCUGUUGGUCUGAAUAGGUCAGCGGCCAAGCGAAAGCAUUAAGCAUCCCACCUGGGGAGUACGCCGGCAACGGUGAAACUCAAAGGAAUUGACGGGGGCCCGCACAAGCGGAGGAACAUGUGGUUUA